rnacentral:rRNA from 1 species
AUUGACCGCUGCGCCGAAUGCUGUUACAGAUGCCCGUCGAACGCCGGCACGCGUAUCUUUCGGCCUGGUGGCCACUGGACAAGGGGUGAGUAGCGUAUCAGAACCUAUCCCAUAUUGGGGGAUAACUAAUCGAUCGGCUGAGCUAAUACCGCACACGCCCUACGGGGGAAAGCUGGCGGACCUUCGGCCCUGGUGUUAAUGGAUCGUCCCAUAUCUGACUACCUAGUUGGCGAGGUAACAAUCUCACCGCGGCGACGAUCAAUAUCUGGUCUGAUAGGACGACCGGCCACGCUGGACCUGAGACACCGUCCACCACUCCUCACGGGUAGGCACCAGUGGGCAAUUUUGGACUAUGGGCGCAAGCCUGAUCCAACCAUUCCGCGUGAGUGAAGAACGCCUUCGGAUUGUACAGCUCUUUCCCAAGGGAAAACUACUUACUUACUAGUAUUAACUGAGGUUGACGGUACCUUGAUAAUAACCACCGGGUAACUACA